AUCCCUGAUAAGUGAGAACUCCUGGAAUGGAUUCUCGCUCAAAAGACGUUUAGACCAUGCUUCUAAGCGUCGCCCAAGGAGGGGGCCGCGACCGAUCAGGUUGUUGGUGAGGUAACGGCUCACCAAGCCUUUAACCGGUACGGGCCGUGAGAGCGGAAGCCCGGAGAUGGGCACUGAGACAAGGGCCCAGGCCCUACGGGGCGCAGCAGUCGCGAAAACUCCGCAAUACACGAAAGUGUGACGGGGCCAUCCCGAGUGCCAUCCGCUGAGGAUGGCUUUUCCCCAGUGUAUAAAGCUGGGGGAAUAAGGAGAGGGCAAGCCUGGUGUCAGCCGCCGCGGUAAUACCAGCUCUCCGAGUGGUGGGGAUGUUUAUUGGGCCUAAAGCAUUCGUAGCCUGCUUGGCAAGUCCUCCGUUAAAUCCAACGAUUCAAUCGUUGGGCUGCGGGGGAUACUGUCCAGCUAGGGGGCGGGAGAGGCCGACGGUAUCCCCGGGGUAGGGGUGAAAUCCUAUAAUCCCGGGAGGACCACCAGUGGCGAAGGCUGUCGGCUAGAACGCGCUCGACGGUGAGGGAUGAAAGCUGGGGGAGCGAACCGGAUUAGAUACCCGGGUAGUCCCA
rnacentral:rRNA from 1 species